rnacentral:rRNA from 1 species
AUUGAACGCUGGCGGCAGGCCUAACACAUGCAAGUCGAGCGGAUGAAGGGAGCUUGCUCCUGGAUUCAGCGGCGGACGGGUGAGUAAUGCCUAGGAAUCUGCCUGGUAGUGGGGGAUAACGUCCGGAAACGGGCGCUAAUACCGCAUACGUCCUGAGGGAGAAAGUGGGGGAUCUUCGGACCUCACGCUAUCAGAUGAGCCUAGGUCGGAUUAGCUAGUUGGUGGGGUAAAGGCCUACCAAGGCGACGAUCCGUAACUGGUCUGAGAGGAUGAUCAGUCACACUGGAACUGAGACACGGUCCAGACUACUAAGGGAGGCAGCAGUGGGGAAUAUUGGACAGAGGGCGAAAGCAUGAUCCAGCCAUGCCGCGUGUGUGAAGAAGGUCUUCGGAUUGUAAAGCACUUUAAGUUGGGAGGAAGGGCAGUAAGUUAAUACCUUGCUGUUUUGACGUUACCAACAGAAUAAGCACCGGCUAACUUCGUG